rnacentral:rRNA from 1 species
AUCCUGGCUCAGAUUAAACGCUGGCGGCAUGCCUUACACAUGCAAGUCGAACGGCAGCACGGGGGCAACCCUGGUGGCGAGUGGCGAACGGGUGAGUAACACAUCGGAACGUGCCCUGGAGUGGGGGAUAACGCAGCGAAAGCUACGCUAAUACCGCAUAUUCUGUGAGCAGGAAAGCAGGGGAUCGCAAGACCUUGCGCUCUGGGAGCGGCCGAUGUCGGAUUAGCUAGUUGGUGGGGUAAAGGCCUACCAAGGCGACGAUCCGUAGCGGGUCUGAGAGGAUGAUCCGCCACACUGGGACUGAGACACGGCCCAGACUCCUACGGGAGGCAGCAGUGGGGAAUUUUGGACAAUGGGCGCAAGCCUGAUCCAGCCAUGCCGCGUGAGUGAAGAAGGCCUUCGGGUUGUAAAGCUCUUUCGGCGGGGAAGAAAUUGCGCAGGUUAAUACCCUGCGUAGAUGACGGUACCCGAAUAAGAAGCACCGGCUAACUACGUG